rnacentral:lncRNA from 1 species
CCAAACCCUUACUAAUGUUCAUCUCAGAUUAGGCGCUGUUAGCAUAAAAUAGCUGAUUAAAGCUAUACCUCAUUCCUUUCUCAUUCAACAUUUCCUUCCCUGAGGAAAGGAGUCUGUACUGAUAUACAACUCAAUAGGGGAAAAGUUGCUAUUCUUUCACUUCAUUGACUUAAAAUAUUUUGUUCAUUUUUCUUCUCUCAUUUUUUCUUUUCCUUCAAGCUUCCACCGCUGCAUGGAGCCCCACAUGUUUACCUCUUAUCUGCUUCCACAGGGAUCCAGAUAGCCUUCUAACAGCGUUUGGAGUAUUAACAGCUCACAGCAGAGCAGAGGAGGGGGAUUUAACACAGCAAACAGAAGCAGCGCCACUGGUGGUACUGGGACCAGAGGACAGAGCUACCUGACUGUUGACAGCUGGCCAAUGAUGCCCAAGUACAGAUUUGAGAGUGAAUGAUAUGCAAGCAGCAGCAGCUGCUGGGGAGGAACAGACUUCAGCAGGAGGAUCUGCAGAAAGGUGCUGGAGGAGAAGUCCCAGCUGAGAAGGAUGGCUGGUUUGAAUACAUCAGCCUUGUUUGAAGAGAAGGAUUAUCACAACAGUUUCCCUGAAGCACUCCAGUUCUCCAUGUGGUGCCAAUAAUCCAUCCACACCACACAACCUUGUCAAAUAUUUCAGAAGUGCGUAUCAUUAAUGCAGCAGUGUUAGCAAAUCUUCAAGGAAAAAACUCUUUUCCUUUCCUCUCCUCCUUUUUUCCAACUCUAGCUUUAAAGACAAGAAUUUUGCAGGUGGGGUUACAAACAUAAUAUGAAACUUUAAUCUGGAAUAUAGUAUAUGACAAUAUGUAUAUGUAGGGUGA